rnacentral:rRNA from 1 species
AUUGAACGCUGGCGGCAUGCCUUACACAUGCAAGUCGAACGGUAACAGGUCUUCGGAUGCUGACGAGUGGCGAACGGGUGAGUAAUACAUCGGAACGUGCCUAGUAGUGGGGGAUAACUACUCGAAAGAGUGGCUAAUACCGCAUGAGAUCUACGGAUGAAAGCAGGGGAUCGCAAGACCUUGUGCUACUAGAGCGGCCGAUGGCAGAUUAGGUAGUUGGGGGGAUAAAAGCUUACCAAGCCGACGAUCUGUAGCUGGUCUGAGAGGACGAUGAGCCACACGGGGAGUGAGACACGGCCGAGACCACGGCGGGGGACAGCAGGGGGAAAUUUGGGAAAUGGGGAGAAAGCCUGAUCCAGAAAUGCCGCGUGCAGGAAGAAGGCCUUGGGGUUGUAAACUGCUUUUGUACGAAAAGAAAAGCCCUGGUUUAAUACCCGGGGGUCAUGACGGUACCGUAAGAAUAAGCACCGGUUAACUACGUGCCAGCCGCCGCAGUAA